rnacentral:misc_RNA from 1 species
GAAAUGCGAUACGUAAUGUGAAUUGCAGAAUCCCGUGAAUCAUCGAGUCUUUGAACGCAUAUUGCGCUCAAGGCUUCGGCCGCGAGCAUGUCUGGCUCAUUGUCCGUGUUUCCUCGCACGCGAACCCGCGUGCGGUGUUGGCCUCCCAUGCAAGCAUGGUUGGCAGAAGCACUAUGGUCGUCAGACUCUAUUGCGCACUUGAAGUGAAGUUUACGCGCAAGCGUAGCCUCGUGACAAGUGUGUUAAGACUCCGACGUGCCGUUCGUUGUAGGUAUGACACUUGUCAUUUACACGUAUUGGACCUGAGCUCAGGCAAGGUUACCCGCUGAACUUAA